GGGGGCGAAUGUGAUGCAUUCCCAAACUCAGUAUGUGAUACUGCAGUAAUGCUCGUCUGCGUCUGCCCUAUGGCACGAAGCUACAUUGCAAAUAGUGACAAGACUAGAUGUGAUUAUAGUUGUGGUGCAGUAGUGAAUCCAGCAAACGGAACAGUGGCAACAAACGCAACAAUACCCGGUAGUGUUGCUACAUACGCAUGCAACCCCGGUUUCAUAAUAUACGGUGUGAAUACCAGAACGUGCGUUGUGAACACAGGGUGGUCCGGUUAUCAACCGACAUGUGUUGCAGGAAAAUUAAAUGACAACUGUUCUGGAAAAUUUGAUUUGUGUGCAACCAUCGCAAAUGGGCAAUGUUCUGAUGGAUUGUGCAAGUGUAAUGCCGGUUAUCAAGACGAUGGUUCAGAUACGA